CUCUAGGCAUCUGCCAUUGUGAGUGGUUUGUGUGCUAUCGGGAUGUGCGCUAUCGGGACCCACCCUGAUUGACCCCCUGGGGGUCUAUCAUGGGGUCGAUCAUGAAACUUUUUCCCUAAGGCAGAAGCGUGAAAAGUGAAAAAUUUCUCCAUUUACUUCAGGCUGCGGUCCAUUUAGUACUUCUGAACGCUCUGAAUGCUACGCUCUAAAAGCUACGCUAUGAUCGGUCCACUAGUGUUACCAAUAUUACAAUCACUACACAAGUGGACCAGUUUGUAGCAGUUGUAGCACUUGAAUCAAUUGGCCGCGGUUUAUCCAAAUUUAAUAAUGGAAUUCCAGUUCCAAUUUUAGUAAAUGUUUAUAAUACAUUCAACGAUAUAAUAUCUUAUAUAUAUAUGAUGAUGAGAAAGAAGAAAUAGAAUUUUGCUUAAUGAGUUAUGAAUCGAAGAAAACGAAGAACGCCUAAAAUUGAAGGUUAUGUAGAAUGUAUUAUCCCAUCUCUCACUGCUAUGGAAUUCAAGAGUCAUUUCAGCGGUUUGAGCGCGAAUCGAAAUACGGCUCAAGUCGUAAUUUCCCGCCAAAUAUUGAAACGCUCCAGCUAACCCAUCUCCCGAGGUGAGGCAGUUAGAGCGAAUCGAGAGCGAAAACGAUGACGUAUUGAUGACGUAAUAAGAGCUAUUGGGAACGUUUCGAAGCGUCAAAUGGACCAGCCAUAUUAAUGCUACGAAUGCUCUGUAGUAGAGUCCUAUAUAAAGAGAGAAGCGACAUCAAACCCCCACUACAACCUUCAGUAUCCAAUUGAGUC